GGGGAAUAUUGGGCAAUGGGCGCAAGCCUGACCCAGCAACGCCGCGUGAAGGAAGAAGGCUUUCGGGUUGUAAACUUCUUUUAAGAGGGAAGAGCAGAAGACGGUACCUCUAGAAUAAGCCACGGCUAACUACGUGCCAGCAGCCGCGGUAAUACGUAGGUGGCAAGCGUUGUCCGGAUUUACUGGGUGUAAAGGGCGUGCAGCCGGGUCUGCAAGUCAGAUGUGAAAUCCAUGGGCUCAACCCAUGAACUGCAUUUGAAACUGUAGAUCUUGAGUGUCGGAGGGGCAAUCGGAAUUCCUAGUGUAGCGGUGAAAUGCGUAGAUAUUAGGAGGAACACCAGUGGCGAAGGCGGAUUGCUGGACGAUAACUGACGGUGAGGCGCGAAAGUGUGGGGAGCAAACAGGAUUAGAUACCCUGGUAGUCCACACUGUAAACGAUGAAUACUAGGUGUGCGGGGACUGACCCCCUGCGUGCCGCAGUAAACACAAUAAGUAUUCCACCUGGGGAGUACGAUCGCAAGGUUGAAACUCAAAGGAAUUGACGGGGGCCCGCACAAGCGGUGGAUUAUGUGGUUUAAUUCGAAGCAACGCGAAGAACCUUACCAGGGUUUGACAUCCUGCUAACGAAGUAGAGAUACAUUAGGUGCCCUUCGGGGAAAGCAGAGACAGGUGGUGCAUGGUUGUCGUCAGCUCGUGUCGUGAGAUGUUGGGUUAAGUCCCGCAACGAGCGCGACCCCUAUUGUUAGUUGCUACGCAAGAGCACUCUAGCGAGACUGCCGUUGACAAAACGGAGGAAGGUGGGGACGACGUCAAAUCAUCAUGCCCCUUAUAUCCUGGGCUACACACGUACUACAAUGGAUGUUAACAGAGGGAAGCAAGACAGCGAUGUGGAGCAAACCCCUAAAAACAUUCUCAGUUCAGAUUGCAGGCUGCAACCCGCCUGCAUGAAGAUGGAAUUGCUAGUAAUCGCGGAUCAGCAUGCCGCGGUGAAUACGUUCCCG
rnacentral:rRNA from 2 species